AGCUUGUUCCUCACCUGGAACUUCCACAUGGGAUAUGUUUUCCCUCUGGAAGCCUUGAUACCAAAGAUAAUUCAAAAGAUCAGAUGGGACAAAGCAAGGGUUCUAGCCGUUGUUCCCUUCUGGCCAAACCAAAGCUGGUUUUCAGAAAUAGUGUAUGACAAUUUCAGGCUGGGUUCUUCCACUUUCAGACAACUUCAUAGAGAAUGUGGAUCUUCUAGAAGAGACCCUGAAAAUGUUCAAACUGACGGCAUGGUUGCUGC